ensembl:lncRNA
AUCUCUCUCUGGAGAUUGUUCCUUGUGGAGUUUCUCAUGACCCUAUGAUACUGACUACAUGUCUCUUUGCAAAAUACUGAAAUGUGUCUUGUCCAGUUUCCUCAGCUGUUUACCUAGCUGUCUAUAGGACAUCUGUUUCAAGAUAGGCAACAGUCACAUAACAUUUCGCCUUCCUGGAGGAGAAGAGUACAGGAAACUUGAUUUUGAAGCUCAAUAUUGCCAAAGUUUUCUGUUUUUCAUAAAGAUGCUAGACAAUGACAUCAUAUGUACUGUGUGUCCCUUUUCUUUUUGGAUGGAACUUCAUUUCAUGGUGGAAAUGUUGCAGGGCAACGAUUGAUCUUGAAUUUCACUACUGCUGCACUGAGCAAAAGUAACAAAUGGUGUCAUUGCUGAAGCUUGUGAAAAAAUAUUUGUAGUCAUGGUUGUAGCUGGAGCCAAAGUCAGAGGCACUGAACCAGAACCUAGAUAGAACCCAAACUUUUCUAAGGUCACAUAUUAUUUUGUUUAUUUGUUUUAACUUGACUAAGUAUGUUUUUGAUCAUUUAACCAUGGUCUCUGUUCAUAACAGCCCUGUGGGCUUGUAUGAGAAGAACUCCUCACUGUUUUUAAAGCCGAUUUCAAUCAAAUAUUGUUAUUCAGAACAAAUAUUUUCACCUACCACAUCAUGUAACUGCAAUCUGUGCUUCUGCUUUCAAGACUGUUAUAGUGCGUAUAGAUUAAAUGACUGUGGAAAAUUAACAGUGGCCUUAUAUAAAAACAGCUGCAAUCAGGAAAAAAAGACUGAAAACUCCCUAUUUCUUGUAUAUGUAACCAAAGCUGCAUACUGCUGGCUAAAUCUUGGCAUUUGGUCUAAAACUCUCACAGUCUUUCUUAGUUAGAAUUGAAUGCAGGCCACUUGCUGCAGGGAUGCGUUCUCAGCUAAAUAGUGUGUGUUGGAAGCAGUUAUUAGCAAAUUUAAUUAAAUCCUGGCAAUUGCUAUAGCAAAUAGAUGCAUUCUUCGUCUGAAAAGCUGCGGCUGUGUUCUGCUCAGCACCUGACACAUGCAUCUCUGAAAUGUUUCCAUGUCAAAUUUAAAUGUAGUGAUCCCUCUGCAGAAGGCCUAAUUUACAAAAUUACUGAACUUUCGCAUUUCUGACCGAAGUCAAGGCAAUCUGUUGCUUAAAAACUAAUCCUAGGUAUUUCCAUCUUGCAAUGGUAAUUCUUUGGGCAGAAAAUAGUUACAUGUGACGUAUGUGUUAUCACUUUUAUUCUUCAUUCUAAAUCACAGUGAAAUUCUUAAUGAAAAAAAAUAGGGAAUCUUGUAAAACAAAGAUUUGCAAGGCACUGAAUGUCUUCCCAGCUUUACAAGAGAAGCUGUCGUGAGCCAUCUUUUUAAUAACUUUAGGAAAUAUCAUGUUCAAAUGUUACAAACAUAUAUAAAGACACACUAAAUGCUACAUAACAGUUAAGGGUCUAUAUUUUUUAACCUCAAAAGUAAAAGCGCUUUAACCAACCUGCAUUCAUAAAAGAAAUACUGGUAGACCCUUAACUCUUGUGAAGCCAGUGAUUACUGGCAUAAAGAAAAGAAAUAACACAUUCUGAAAUAUAUUACAAUGAAGCUGCAUAGCACAUAGUUUAUAGAUUUAUAAGAUUUAGAUUAAACCGGGAUCUUUUCCUGUGUUUAUCAACAGCAUUAAAAAAAAAACAGUAAGUGAACCUGGAAUACCGCAAACCAAUCAAUAAAGUUUAAAAGCUCCAGUGAAUUUAACCUAUAACAGGUCCUUGUUUGGAGAACAUGCUCAAGAAACACAUGUGCCUUUAAGAGGUCUUGAAAGAAUUUACACCCAUGGACCAUUACCAUUCCCAAACACCCUGCAGCUUUACCAGCCCAACAUGUGCUGACUGUAUAUCACCAUGACCCUUUCACUAAAGCUCUUUUGACUGGAGUGCUUUUAAUACCCACUUUCUCAGCUGAGCUCAGGAGUGAUUUGUUUUACAUGCCACAUUAAUCCUUUCCACAUUUUCUGGAUGAGGCAACCACAAUUCCACUUGUGAGGUGUUUCUAAAACAUAGUUAUAGGAAUAAAGCAGCAGGGUCCCAGACUUGACAACUUCCCUUUGGGCGGCUGACAAAGUGGGCUAUCGGGGCUGGUGCUGGAGCUCGCAGUUGUGCCCGGCAGUGAGGGUGGGCUGCUCUCCGUGGUUAGCAGGAGGCCCAAUUAUUGUUGGCAAUUCAGCCACAAUUAAAACCCUGUAGGGAUCUUCGUAGGUUUAAUGUCCAAUGAAUGCUGAUGCAGAUUAAUAAAAUCCAGCUCUUCUUUUAUAAGCUUAAGAUGAAAUGGAAUAGAGAGAAACAGUUCUGAAAAUAUAAAUCGCAGCUCCGUAAAACCCAAGAAGUUUAUGCCUCACACCUACAUGAUUGGAGGAAAGGAGCUUUUUAUAAAUGGGCAAUUAGUGUUCAGCGUACUGGCUUUUAUUAUGUGGUAAUUUUACAGUUUUCACUUUAAAGACACCCCCCAAAAAAAUCAAAGGCCAAAUGAAUUUCUGUUGUAUGCAUUUAUGAGCUUUCUGCAUUUAUAAUGUUAGCUCAAUGUUACCAAUGUAAGGUUUUGAAAAUUUAGUGUUGUCAACAAGGCUAACAGAGUGGACCAACCAAUUAUAAAACUGUUUUUACAUG